GCAUCGGUAGUUUAAUGGUAAAACUCAUCGCUGUCGUCGAUGAGCCCCGUGUUCAAUUCACGGCUGAUGCA